GUACUUUGCGAACUCUCGUCUACGCAAGAAGGACUCAGUCUACCUUUGGUUAGAACCGUUCCAUGGUAGAUUUGCCGAACCAAUCAACUACAUUCUCCCAAUUAGUUUGCUGGCUACUUUCGGAGGUUUGUAGGGUGUUUUAAAAAACAUCAGUGACUGGGUUGUCUCUAACCAGUCAAAGUAUCAAAGCUAAUUACAUACUUAUUGCUGAAAGAAAUGUUUGGGGUUGUGGCUUUUGGCCAGAACAUGGAGUUUAAAAAGCCAGCCAAUCAGCAAAGGAGAAUCUAGGGUGUCAUGAUUUGUGUCGAGUGUCAAUAAAUGCUUCGGUGGUCUGGGAACACUGGAGUCAUUUCUUCUUAAGCACUGAGUAUGAACACUGGAAAUGAAGGCCCAAUGGAGAGACAACAUAUGGCUGUCUGGGAUACCCUGCGGACUUGGCUUCUCUGGAGCUGUUGUCUUACUGCUGUUAGCAAGAAAACCUGUGUAUUGAAGUUACUGAGUCACACUACUGUUUUCCACCAGCUUGACCGGGUCCUGUGGACCGUGCAUAUAUGGACACACACACACACACACACAAACUGACUGUUGUUUGCUUGAGAAAUGAUGUCUACACAUCAUGGCUCUUGAUUUUAUUACAAAUCAAAUCAGUCUGCUUCCGUUGGGAGGGAAUGAGGGGAGAGUUACUGACAGGGGAGGUUAGGGUCUUCCUGGGUUACGUCAGAUCCCCUAGAGCGGACUGCUCCGCUCCAGAUCUCCACUGCAGAUUAAGGGAGGUGAUUUGUCUCGGCGGAACACUGCUGACGGCAUGCUAAUCUGACACUUCCACGCAGGGUUCACUGGCCUGGCAGUCAUGGUAUCGUCGCCAGCAUCGGCCACGUUCUGCAGGUGAGGGAGGGAGUUGGCAUCUUUCUGCGGCUGUGGUGGUGUCCGAACACAAGCCCAUAACAUGCACUCCUGCGCACGUAGUUGUAGAUUUGUGUUUGGCCAUUAUGUGGAACCCAGAGCUUCCGGAACAUACAGCUGUCUUUGUGCUGCGAUGUUGAGAGGAUCACUUUGCUCUCUGACUGAAAGAGACUAAAUGCCUUUCUGUAUCCAUUAGGCAGUGGUUUUUCACGAACCUGGUCAAUCGUCUAAGGCAAAAUGACAGUUUACAGUGGCCAACGUCCUGCUCUUUUCUCUGAGCCUGGUUGAUUUAACACAUGCAUACCUAGGGUGUUCAUGAGUAUCAGUUAAGAGAGAAUUUACAGACCCGUCCAUCAAAUCCACUGCUUUGGCAUUUGUAGAUGGGGCCCAUCAACACAUUCUGUGUGUCUCAAUGUGUCUGUGUGUGUAUAUAAUGUGGGAUAUGUCGUUUUGAUGAUCUGGAACAAACAGCGUGUCCGGCCAGGAUCCGAGUGAUUUUACUGUGUCUGGUCAGACUGGAGUCCUGAGAUAAUGAACGCAACCAGGAGAGAGAGGCCGACCCCUGCUGCUUCAUCGUCAGACUCUGUUAUCACUAACACCAAUCACAACAUUUCAUUUCAACUCUCAAACCAUCUUUCUAGCCUCAUUUUAGGCAUUAGUAGUUUGUUUUCACAAGGGCUAUCUUUCUGGACGGGUAGUCUAAACACACACCGAGGGACACAAAAACGGAAGGAAAGGAAACUAUGUAUUGGUACACAUCCCAGAGCUCAAGAAACUUCCAGAAGACCCAGCAAGUGGAACCCAGAGAACUGACCCCAUGUGAUUCUGGAUCCCUAAAGUGAUUCUCCUCCACAAACUGUGUGUUCUAGUGAAUAACCUGGUGACUAUCCUCUCCACUUGGCUUCUGUCUGUGUGAAUAACAACACGUAUCCCCCAUCCAGUCCACACAACAAUACUAGUUUGUGUUUUCCCGGAUGCGUAUUACUGUAAUAAUAAUGUUCAGUUCAGAGUUCCCCAUGGAUGUCAAAUGGGUCACGG
ensembl:lncRNA